AUUGAACGCUGGCGGCAGGCUUAACACAUGCAAGUCGAGCGGGGGAGGUUGCUUCGGUAACUGACCUAGCGGCGGACGGGUGAGUAAUGCUUAGGAAUCUGCCUAUUAGUGGGGGACAACAUUCCGAAAGGGAUGCUAAUACCGCAUACGCCCUACGGGGGAAAGCAGGGGAUCUUCGGACCUUGCGCUAAUAGAUGAGCCUAAGGCGGAUUAGCUAGUUGGUGGGGUAAAGGCCUACCAAGGCGACGAGCUGUAGCGGGUCUGAGAGGAUGGUCGGCCACACUGGUACUGAGACCAGGCCCAGACUCCUACGGGAGGCAGCAGUGGGGAAUAUUGUACAAUGGGCGGAAGCCUGAUCCAGCCAUGCCGCGUGUGUGAAGAAGGCCUUUUGGUUGUAAAGCACUUUAAGCGAGGAGGAGGCUCUUAAGGUUAAUACCCUUGAUGAGUGGACGUUACUCGCAGAAUAAGCACCGGCUAACUCUGUGCCAGCCGCCGCCGUAAAAC
rnacentral:rRNA from 1 species